UGCUCGUUCCCGGUGUGCUCUGUCUGGGGCUUGCUUUUCUUUCCUUUUUGGGAGGCAGAGAGCACUGGUCAGAGGUUGUGCUUGGCACGCUGCAACUCCGUUGUCACUGCUGUGGCUGUUAUUCCCUCGGCAAGAGCCAAGGAGCGACCAGGACGGAAGAAAGGAAACAGAAAUUGCUCUUUAGAGUGACAGUCCCAGGAAGAGGAAUAAAGAGCAGAGGGAAAGAAGGUGACUGUUUUUGCAGCCCCUGCUACAGGGUAGCUGUGACUCCAUGUCUUCAGGAUUCUCCUCUUUGGCUCUUCCCCUUGACCACAGAAGAAUCAUUGAACAGAGAGGCUACUGACAAAAAAUGGACACUUUUGAUGUGAAUAGGGAUGCAGACCAUGUCAGCGGGUCUCCCUUGCUUCUUCAGGAGAGGAGGGGUUGAAAGAGCCAGCAGCAACCGAAAAGCAUUAUCCACUAAGGAGGAGCAGUGACAAGGAGCUUGAAGACUCUCAGGGCUCACAGGCCCUGCCUGGACGCAGGCAGCAUCAGAACCCAGCAGCCUGCGGGGCAGCCCGGAGGGGCCUGUGGCUGGAGAGCCCAGCCCCAUCCGCAGAGAGAAAUUAUGACUCCCGCACCAUUUCAGAAUCAAAAAGUUAAAACGAAGUCUCAGUGACGCUACACCAUGCCAGACGCGGGCGGAUGGUUUGACGAUAUUGGUCUAGCAAGAUGGAAACGGGUUUAAAAAAUAAGAUUCGUAAGACGUUACUUGUUCCAGUUGCUAGGAUGUCCUGUGAAUUGUUGACCGGAAGUGGAAAGAGCAGGCAUCUUUGCCUUGUUCCCAGUCUUAUAAGGAAAUAAUUUUAUAGUUAACCAUUAAGGAUUAUAUUAACAAGUUUUUUAUAGAAUGCUGCUUAUCAGACUGA